GGAGGGCAAGUCUGGUGCCAGCAGCCGCGGUAAUUCCAGCUCCAAUAGCGUAUAUUAAAGUUGUUGCGGUUAAAAAGCUCGUAGUUGGUUCUGCGUGCCGCGCUGUCGGUUCGCCGCCUGUCGGUGUAACUGGCAUGUCGCGGCAUGUCCUGUCGGUGGUGAACGGAGUCCACAAUGCUACAUAGGCUUUAUAGCCGAUGUUAGCGUUGUGUGCACUUCCGUUGGCCGAUCUCUCCUACUUCGGUGCUCUUAAACGAGUGUCGAGGUAGGCCGACACGUUCACUUUGAACAAAUUAGAGUGCUUAAAGCAGGCUGAAAUAUCUGCCUGAAUAGUGGUGCAUGGAAUGAUAAAACAGGACCUCGGUUCUAUUUUGUUGGUUUUAGGAAUAUGAGGUAAUGAUCAAUGUGGACUGGCGGGGGCAUUCGUAUUGCGACGUUAGAGGUGAAAUUCUUGGAUCGUCGCAAGACGCACUAGAGCGAAAGCAUUUGCCAAGUAUGUCUUAAUUGAUCAAGAACGAAAGUUAGAGGUUCGAAGGCGAUCAGAUACCGCCCUAGUUCUAACCAUAAACGAUGCCAGCCAGCGAUCCGCCGAUGUUCCUUUAAUGACUCGGCGGGGAGCUUCCACCCGGGAAACCAAAGCUUUUGGGUUCCGGGGGAAGUAUGGUUGCAAACG
rnacentral:rRNA from 1 species